GGGACUACAGGCACCCACCACCACGGCUAUUUUUUUUUGUAUUUUUAGUAGAGACAGGGUUUCACCAUAUUGGCCAGGCUGGUCUCGAAUUCCUGACCUUGUGAUCUGCCCGCCUUGGCCUCCCAAAGUGCUGGAAAUACAGGCAUGAACCAUCGCGCCCGGCAUUUAUUAUUUUUGAGAUGGAGUCUUGCCCUGUCGCCCAGGCU
rnacentral:lncRNA from 10 species